UUUGGGUCUGUCUUCCUAGGGUGUGUCACCUACUUUGAUCUGGUGCCUUUGUCUGAGGUCAAGAAGUUGGAAUUUGUAUAAAUGUUACAUUUGAAUAGGAAGAAUUGUUAAUUGUGUUUGGGAUGAACAUAAAUUCUGAUUCACUUUGAAAUUGGUAGUGAAAGCCACAGCAAUUUUAAAACUGAAAGUGCUAAGAAAUGGGGAGUUCAAACUGUAGUACGUAAGGCAUCUGGCAUUAUUCAAUAUUUCACCCUCAGAUAAAACCUCUUAUCCAUUGGUAUGUGGUGGGGAAUAAAAAAUACAACUGAACUCGGAAAGCGUCUUGCAUAUAGAAGCUGUUCAAAAAGUUCUAGCUACUCUCUCUACCACCAUGGUGACACUACAGAAAAAGGUGGAACAUCACACAUGUAAAAAUACAUGACUGUAUUUUGGUAAUACAAGUAUAAUCUAAUCUUUGUAUGAAUACAAACACGCUGCUUCUGAGCCAGUUCCUCCUCCUGAGCAUCAUUUACGCCCACACUAAGCAGCAUCGGAAAAGAAGAUUCAAAAUCAGAAGCCAUCUCUCACUCUUUUGACUCACUGUAAUGACUGGUUUCUGUCAUUCUUUAUGUCGUUCUUACAAUGAAAUUGUUGCCUUUGUCUUUUUUUGAUUCCCCUUCUAUGGCAGGCAGAUUGUGGGGAGAGGGGGAAGCAAGGGCAGUGAUCUAGGCUAAGUAGUGUCAGCCUUACAAAGCAGAACUGGCAGAUAAAUCUCUUACCUGGAGCUUUGUAAGUCUGAAACCCAAGAGUGGGGAGAAAUCUGAGUCAGCAAAGAGUCUCUGAAUGUGUCUGUCAACAAACACAGCAGCCUGGGGUGGGUAUAGGGAGCCAGAUUUUAAACUAGGAGAUCACAGAAUGAGAAAUUGGGGCUGGUGGCAAACAAGAAAAGCAGGAGCGGUCUAAGACAGAGGUCUGGUUGGCUUGUGUGUUGUCCCUUCAUCAUGGUGGCAUACUAGGCUUGGGACUUGUAAAGGGACAGGGACAGAGCUGAUGGUCUUGUAUUCGGUUUAUUUGCCUCCAUUGCCUUUUGCUCUCCCUGAGUGGGAACUUUGAGGAGUAAGCCUGUUGUAACCAGCUUUAAACCCCUUACAAUAUCCAUCCAAGUAGCUUACAGAGAGUAGGCGUUCCAUAUUUAUUUGUUAAAUUAAUUUGAAGAUAAUUAUCACUUUGGAUAAAUACAGGGAAGGUUUGAUUAUGAAAUGAGACCUAGCCACAAGAUAAGCAUGAACAGUCAGUGCCGUUCAGGUAGACGAAGGUCAAGCUUUGCUAGCAAAUGGAAUUCCAAAGUAAACGCAUAAUACAUAUUGUUAAAGGAGCUUUUCAAAGAAUAACCACACCUUGAGUUUGAUGCAUUUUUAUUUUGGGGAACAACGAUACAUUUCACCAAUGGUUUCUAUAAUUUCAGAUUUAAAACUUGCUGGAUGAGUUGCAAAUGUAUGAGAAAUGGUUUGGGAAAACCAUUUUUAUUCAUUAAGUUGUUUGUUUUGAUAGAUAAAAAGGCACAUCUUUUUUAAGUGAUGUUUGUUUCAUAUUUUGAGUGGCAGCAAAAAUAAUUGCAUGUUUGAAAUCUUUGAAAUAUGUUUUAAUGCUUUUAAAAUGACUUAAGAGCAAAUGUGCCAAAUUUACCCACUGCUUAAUCUUUCCAUGGUUGAAAGUUAGCUUCACUUUCCAAGCUUUAUGGAAUUACUUAAUAUGUUCUUCGAUUAUGUGUUUUAAAUCGCAGUCAGUGUCUGUACCUGGUGAACUGAUUAGAACAUUUGACACACCUAUAGCAAGAUUUUGCAAAAAAAGACAGUCAUGGUAAUAAAAGAAGUAUGUCUUGGAAAGUUUGGAAAAUGAAAAAUAAAAACACAAUAAAGAGCUUCUAGAGGGCAGGCACCUGUCUGGUUCGCUCAUACACCCCAGCUCCUAGAACAGUGCGUGGCACGUGGUAAGUACUCGCUGAUAUUUAUGGAAUGGACAAAUCUUCAAUUCUAAUAUUUAUUCACGUGGAAUGUUUUUUAAUACCACUUCCAAAGACUACGCCAGAUAGAAGCCUCCUUUUAUUGUUCUAAUCAGCAGUGCUUUAUUUACUCAUUUAUUCAUUCACUGACUGUACUAGGUUUACCGAAUGCCUACAUGUGCCCUAAAGUAGGGCUUACA